GAGGAGGAGGAGGAGGAGAGAGAGAGGGAAGGAAACGAGAGAGAAAGAGAGAGAGAGAGGGAGGCUGUCCGGCUGACGUCAGAAGAUGUGCGACUCUGUUACAGGAGACACAGCAGACUGGUAAAGGCACAUCGAGAGGCAAGACAGCGAUGAGAGGUUAGGCGCUGGGGGGAGGAGGAGCAGGAGGAAGGCUGCACACACACGGAGUGAUGGAGGCACGACGCAGAGUUAAGAGAAGGAGCUGUGGAGAGACUGAGCGGGCGUGAGGAGCAGAGAGGGCAGAGACGUCAACAGACACCAGCACUGAGCCGGAGGAGGCUGGAAACACAAGAAGGCUUAGUUUGGUCAGUUCGAAGAGAGAGAGAGCACUGUAACACACACACACACACUGGGACACAAACACACACACACGCACACUGUGAGAGGAGGAGGCAGCUGUAAAAACAGUGAUGCUGGAGAGACAGUGCAGUUGUGGGGGAGAGCGAGGAGGAAGAGGCUGGUUAGUCUCCAGGGCAGGACAGAGAGCAGGAGGAGGAUGAGGAGGAAGAGGGACACGAGAGGGACGCAGAGCCUGCGGCCGCAGGGACCUGGAACACACAGCCCCCCCAAAAAAAAACAGAAGUCAAAGGUUUUUCCCAGAAACAGCCCCCAUGGCUACUGUACACCCCCAGCAGCGGACCGGACUGGACCGGGAAGGUCCAGUGGGCUCAGAAAGGACAAACUUGGCACAAGUGAGAUUCACCAGCAAGGACUCACAGGGCAGCGCUCAGCACCCAGAGAGCCUGCAGAGCACAGGGGACAGGAGAGCAGGAGGACAGGAGCACAGGGGACAGGAGAGCAUGGGACAGGAACACAGGGGACAGGAGAGCAGGGGACAGGAGGACAGGAGCACAGGGAAAGGAGAGCAGGAGGACAGGGGGAUAGGAGGACACUAGGACAGGAGGACAGGGGGACAGGAGCACAGGGGAACAGGGGAACAGGGGGACGAGAGGACAGGGCCCAGGGUCUCUGACCACCUGGACAUACAGUCCCAACAGCGCACUGCAGGCAGGCAAGGUUCAGAAGAGGAGUGGGGUACAGCUGUCCCCGAAACAGCACAGAGCUGCUCUGUCCAGAGGCUCAGGCUGUGGGAAAGUGGAGAUACAUUCUGCUCAUGAAGAGCACACUUGUCAGAACAAGAAAGACAGACGAGAGAGGGAGACAGACAGACGCAGCAGCAGGCAGAGACAGACAGACAGGCAAACAGGCAGAGACAGACAGACAGAGACAGACAGACAGGCAGAGACAGGCAAGCAGGCAGACAGGCAAGCGCGAAUCAUGAGAAGGAGGGUGAUGUCCGAGACGAUCUCUCUUUGACAAAACGUAUCCCUUCCACAGGGACGACAAGACCCUGCGGAACACUCAGCUGCUGUUUUAUCAACCCCUUCACCAGAGGGCGCUCCAGAGCUCGAAGCCAUCAAACAGCCAUGACAUACACCCCUUCCUCCUCACCCUGAUCUGCAGACAGAUCAGGAACGCGUCCCCUGAGAAGGAGGUCAGGCUGUACCGUUCUGCAGGGCUGGGGUUUGUGUGGAGGAACAGCAUGUGGUUUACGUCUCUUGAACAGAGUUUCUGUGUUUCCUCUGUGAGGAGUGUGUGUGGAAUUCAAGACCUCAUUAGCAGACCUGCACACAGCACAGCCAGCUAGUGGAAGCCAGUGGUCGCCGUGCAGCCUGCACUGCCUUGCUGCAGAC
ensembl:lincRNA